UACGUAGGUGGCAAGCGUUGUCCGGAUUUACUGGGCGUAAAGAGCGCGCAGGCGGCUGGGCAAGUCCGAUGUGAAAGCUUCCGGCUUAACUGGAAAAUUGCAUCGGAAACUGCUCGGCUUGAAGGUGGGAGAGGGUAGCGGAAUUCCCGGUGUAGUGGUGAAAUGCGUAGAUAUCGGGAGGAACACCAGUGGCGAAGGCGGCUACCUG
rnacentral:rRNA from 1 species